GUAUUUAUUGCGAUUAAGCAAAGUAGACAUUCUAAGACAUACAAGAGUUUAUAAAAAUCAAAUCAACAGAGAACGCUAGUCGAAACCUUUCGGUCCUUUCGCUAAUCCCCCAUUAAUUUGCAAAGGUGCACAGGUGUAUAGAUGAGUGAAAGAGCGUGCACGAUCCCCCGAGAGGGCAGCGACAACUCAGUAAACUCGUUAAUGAUCCUUCCGCAGGUUCACCUACGGAAA
rnacentral:misc_RNA from 1 species